rnacentral:misc_RNA from 1 species
CAGAGUUCUCGCCCUCGCGGGUAGAUCUCCCACCCACUGUUAUCGUUACUGUGUUGCUUUGGCGGGCCGCCGGGCCCCGCUCGGCCGCCGGCUCCGGCUGGCGCGCGCCCGCCAGAGGCCCAGCGAACUCUGAAUGUUAGUGUCGUCUGAGUACUAUAUAAUAGUUA